rnacentral:rRNA from 1 species
AAAACAUGUCCUUUAGGAAUAAUAUAUUAAAGGUCUGACCUGCCCAGUGAUUUUUAAACGGCCGCAGUAUUCUGACUGUGCGAAGGUAGCAUAAUCAUUUGUCUUUUAAUUAAAGGCUUGUAUGAAUGGUUGGACGAGGAAUUAACUUUCUUUAUUUGAAUUUUAUGAAUUUGAUUUUUGAGUUAAAAAGCUUAAAUUUUUUUGCAAGACGAGAAGACCCUAUAGAAUUUUACUAAUGAAUUAAAAUCUAUUAUUUUGUUAAUUAUUGAUAAAUUUUAGUUUAUUAGUUUUGUUGGGGCGACAGUGAAAAUUGAAUAACUUUCAUUAUUAUUUUUCAUUAAUUUAUGUUUAUUUUGAUCCUUAAUUUUGGAUUAUAAGAUUAAAUUACCUUAGGGAUAACAGCGUAAUUUUUUCGGAGAGUUCUUAUCGAUGAAUAAAGUUUGCGACCUCGAUGUUGGAUUAAAGUAAGUUCUUGGUGUAGCAGCUAA